GACGAACGCUGGCGGCGUGCCUAAUACAUGCCAGUCGAGCGAAGUUUUUCUGGUGCUUGCACCGGAAAAACUUAGCGGCGAACGUGUGAGUAACACGUAAAGAACCUGCCUUAUAGACUGGGACAACUAUUGGAAACGAUAGCUAAUACCGGAUAACAGCAUUAACUGCAUGGUUGAUGUUUGAAAGUUGGUUUUGCUAACACUAUGAGAUGGCUUUGCGGUGCAUUAGCUAGUUGGUGGGGUAAAGGCCUACCAAGGCGACGAUGCAUAGCCGACCUGAGAGGGUGAUCGGCCACACUGGGACUGAGACACGGCCCAGACUCCUACGGGAGGCAGCAGUAGGGAAUCUUCCGCAAUGGGCGAAAGCCUGACGGAGCAACGCCGCGUGAGUGAAGAAGGAUUUCGGUUCGUAAAGCUCUGUUGUUAGGGAAGAAUGAUUGUGUAGUAACUAUACACAGUAGAGACGGUACCUAACCAGAAAGCCACGGCUAACUACGUG
rnacentral:rRNA from 1 species